rnacentral:rRNA from 1 species
AAUGAACGUUGGCGGCAUGGAUUAGGCAUGCAAGUCGAGCGAGAAGCUUUAGUUUGACGCUUCGGUUGAUUUCUAAAGUGGACAGCGGCGCAUGGGAGAGUAACGCGUAGUUAUCUGCCUCGAGGUCUGGGAUAGCCACGGGAAACUGUGGGUAAUACCGGAUAAUAUCUCUGGAUCAAAGGUGUGAUUCCGCCUUGAGAGGAGACUGCGUACUACUAGCUUGUUGGUGGGGUAAAGGCUUACCAAGGCUACGAUGGUUAGCGGGCGUGAGAGCGUGGCCCGUCUCACUGGGACUGAAACACUGCCCAGACACCUACGGGUGGCUGCAGUCGAGAAUCUUCGGCAAUGGGCGAAAGCCUGACCGAGCGAUGCCGCGUGCGGGAUGAAGGCCCUCGGGUUGUAAACCGCUGUCAGUUGGGAGGAAGGGCUCGUGAAGAGCGAGUCUUGACCUAUCUUCAGAGGAAGUCCGGGCUAAGUUCGUG